AGUCGUCGCCCCGCAGGCUCCGCGCUCUGCAGUUGAUUUCGAGUUUUCGACUCGUCGACGUUUGCGAAUUUAGUGAGAAAAUAUUGCAGAUACGCCUAUUUCAAUUAAGAUGAGGUGUUUCAGUUAAAUGAUCCAGCAGGCGGCGGACGCUGUAGCUGUCGAGUGGUAGAAUCACGAAGAAAUGGCAGGCUACCUGCCAAUCGGCGACGAAUCAGCCGUCACUGCUGCACGGGAUGGAUGAUAACGAGAGGCAGCGGUCCUGGUCGUUGAAGGGGAAGCGGCUAUCGUUGUUCCACCGGUGACAGAUGAACUUUGGGCGACCGAAAGGCGCAGGUAGUAGUCCCGUGUCACGUGGCAUAUAAGCACAGCUGUAUGAGUCAUUUAACCUCUUCUUCGGCGUAAGUGCCCGUGCCGAGCUGCUAUAUGCAGACGAUCAUUACGCGUGAUCAUUACACACACGUGUUACAGCCGUGUGUGACGGUGCACCGCUUAGAUGUUUCUGUGGUUUCCUGACUGGUUGAAUGCGCGACUUUGAGUGUAGAUAACCCACCUGUCGGAAUGCCGCGGUCCGUCAA